UUAACACAUGCAAGUCGAACGGUAACAUAGGAGCUUGCUCCUGAUGACGAGUGGCGGACGGGUGCGUAACGCGUAGGAAUCUGCCUAUUAGUGGGGGACAACAUGGUGAAAACCAUGCUAAUACCGCAUACGCCCUACGGGGGAAAGCGGGGGACCUCACCACUAAAUAUCUUUGAAAUAAAAUACUCUUAAAUUUUAAGAGUGACUAGGUUAUAGGAAUAACCUAGAGAGGGUGUUUAGUGGUGAGGCCUCGCGCUAAUAGAUGAGCCUGCGUUAGAUUAGCUAGUUGGUGAGGUAAAGGCUCACCAAGGCGACGAUCUAUAGCUGGUCUGAGAGGACGAUCAGCCACACUGGGACUGAGACACGGCCCAGACUCCUACGGGAGGCAGCAGUGGGGAAUAUUGGACAAUGGGCGAAAGCCUGAUCCAGCAAUACCGCGUGUGUGAAGAAGGCCUGAGGGUUGUAAAGCACUUUCAAUUGGGAGGAAAACAGGCAGGUUAACAUCCUGUCUCUUGACAUUACCUUUAGAAGAAGCACCGGCUAACUCCGUGCCAGCAGCCGCGGUAAUACGGAGGGUGCGAGCGUUAAUCGGAAUUACUGGGCGUAAAGAGUUCGUAGGCGGUAAGUUAAGUUAGAUGUGAAAGCCCCGGGCUUAACCUGGGAACUGCAUUUAAAACUGGCUUACUCGAGUUUAGUAGAGGGAAGUGGAAUUUCAGGUGUAGCAGUGAAAUGCGUAGAGAUCUGAAGGAACACCAGUGGCGAAGGCGACUUCCUGGACUAAAACUGACGCUGAGGAACGAAAGCGUGGGUAGCAAACGGGAUUAGAUACCCCGGUAGUCCACGCCGUAAACGAUGUCAACUAGCCGUUGGGUCUAUUCGUAGACUUAGUGGCGGAGCUAACGUAUUAAGUUGACCGCCUGGGGAG
rnacentral:rRNA from 1 species